UCUGUCCUUAGUUUGCGUUUCACAAUCACGGAUAAGUGCUAUCUCUCUUUAACCAACAGUAGAUAGCUUCUUCCCUCCGAUUUAUCCGAGCCUCUUGAUACGUUUCGUUCUACUACAAAUACGAAACAACAUCAGGAUCAAGACUUAUUUUAUUUUAUUCUAAAUUAUAACUAUAAUUUAACCAGCAUAUUGUAGACUAUCAUAAACACAUUUGUCUAUAACAAAAAGUAAUAAAAACAUAUGUAGAUUUUUUUAAAUUGGACGUAUUGCUAUUUUUAUCCUAGUCGAAAUUAUGAAACGAAACGUUUUGACAGUCCGUUUGCCAAUAAGCAGUGAUCAGUUUCUUUUGUUUGUUUUUCUAUUGUUUACCUACUAUAUUAGAUGAUGACUUACCUCCAAAACGCUUUAAAACUUUCGUUUAUAAUUCUAAGUGUGUUUAUAAUUAAAGAGCUACAGUGAAAUAAAAGAAUUCUUCAAGAAAGGCAGCACCCAUGACAAAAGAUGAGACGAUGAUUCUAGCAGAACUUGUGGCGGCGAAAAACCAUUUCAAUAAUAAGGCAACAAAUGCCACAAACAAUAAAUUGAAGGAGCAGGCUUGGCAAACCCUUGUAAAUGAUUUUAAUUCGUCGAUUCGUCGUUUCCCACGAACUCCAUCGCAGCUUCGACUAAAAUGGGAAAACUUAAAGAACGCUACGGCAACAUAAGAAACAACCUUAGUAAGGCUGGAGGUGGUAAGGAUUGCAGAUGAAAUUUUGGAUAAAGCAUGCACAUUGUUGUAGGUCACAUAUAAUAUUUUUAACACUUUUACAGCCAAGCGGAAACAAGAUGGAAGAAAAGAAAUGCAAGGCUAGCAUAGGGACAAUGCAUUAGCAGAAUAUCUAAUAGCAAAAAAGAGACUUGACUUGGAAAAUAAAGAAAAGGAGAUUGUUGUAGCAAAAAUUAAGUUAGAUUUAGAUAAUUAAAAAAAUUAAAAAUUACUUAAAAGGAAUAUUAAAUUUCAUAAAUUAAGUAGGCAAUAAUAAUUUUAUGUUAGAUAGUUUUUUAAGUAUAUGUACAAAUUCUAAGUUAAAUAUCUUGCAUGUACUAACUACCAUGUAAUUAUCAUUUUGGAAAAUAAAAAAUAGUCAAAUUA